AAGUGGUUGAACAUUGCCACAAUAUGUUUACAUGCAUAGUCAAGUACCAUUUUUAUGUGUAUGUUUAAAGUUUAAACUAAACCCCAAACAACAAGAUCUAAUCAUAGGAGAGAUAUGUUUAUAUCUAAGAACAUUUAUAAAUAGGGAUGCCAGAGCCUGAUUUAACAGCUCUCAAAGGUAGAGUGAAGUUGCAUGUGUAAAUGCAAUUAUAUGAGAAGGAAAGGAAAAAAGACAAUAUAUGAUAACACAUAAGAGUGUGUAACUCUCAAUUAUAUAUUAAUAUUGCAAUUGAGUAUUGAGUUGUUAAAAAAUUAAUGAGUACAAGUUUAUGUAUGUGGCUCAAUGUUGAACACUUGCAGACAGGGAAUAUAGCCGUAAUGCUCCAACAUAAGACCCUGUCUGUAUGGAACUUAAGGAGGAUUGGGCUAUUGAAAAGAGAGAUCCCCCCAGAGUGGCAUUAAAACAAUAUUUAAAAGUGGGUUUAGUAAUAAACCCUUAUAUGUUAAGGGCAAUAACUUACGUGUCUCCAAACGGUCACCUUCAUAGGACCACAUAAAAAUUAAGGGUAAGACAAUGUGCUUUACAGUUAAAAAUGAGACAAAGACAGCUAAAUUUGUACAAGAUGUACAUUAUAUACAAUAUGUACAGGACUAUAUGCAUUUAUAUAUUUAAAAUACAUGUUGCCACCCUGGAGGGUUGAAAGAAGGAGAGAUUUUUGGAAGUGUAGGCAGAUGUGGGUGGGGGAAAAGAAGAGCCAGCAGAGGUGGUGUCACUCAGUUGUACUAAGGGAGGUAAUUGUGAUGAUGGAGUCUACAAUGGUUGUUUCCCCUGGACCAGAGGGAGUGCACGGUAAAUGAAAAAUAGUUUGUAUACUAUUGAAGGAAAAUUGAUAAUGGUAAGAUGUAAAAUGGUAAAAAGACCAAAUAUUACCUAGAUGCAUUAAGAUAAACCCAAAAAGCUCUAAUCUAACCAAUAUUAUUAGUAUACUGAUGAUAACAUUGGAGGAAAUAAUACUAAAGUACCUUGUAUGGUAUGCAAAAUGACAAUUAGACAGAAAAACCGAGGCAUUUUGCUAUAUAAAAUAGCAAUUUAAUAUAAAAAUUAGGAUAUUUGCUAUAAAAGUAGCAAUUUUAACAUGAGUUAAUGCAAUACAAAGUGAAAUGGUUGCUAUGGUGUAGGGAUAGCAAUAUUGAGAUAAAAAUUAAGGCAAUUUGCUAUAUAGCAGUUUUCACAAAAAUAAGGAAAUUGCUGCACAAGAUAGCAGUUAUAAUAAUCCUUAAUGUACUCCAAGGUACAAAAUUAGCAGUUUCAACAAGGUCGACAAUACUUUGUCCUAGAUAGGGCUAAAUAGGUGUUUAUAAUAGUAUAAGGCCCUGCACCGUGCACUCCAGUCCGAUAUGGUUCUUCGAGUUUGAAGGGGAAAGGGUGGGGUGUCAAAGAGGAAGGGAGGGGGUGCAAUGCAGCCAACAAUCCCAGGUUACUGGACAGCCUCGUCCUUUCUUGUAGUAAGAAAUGCCAUAAAAUAUGAUUAUAUUAAAAAACUGAAAAAAUGUAAAUGGUGGACUAACGUCAUACUCUCAUAAAAAAUGUAUUAAAAUAAAGAAGACCAGGUCAUUGCCAUUGGCCUGAUUUAGAAAGGGCAGGGUAGAACAAUAAACCCAUUAAAAACUAAAAUAAAGGUUGUGUAAAAGCAACACAAAUCCAACACAAUUAUUUGAUUACAUCAGGUUUGUGCAGAGAUGACACAUUUUUAAAAGAAAACAGUCACAAGACUGUAUAAUUAGGUGGGUGUUGGCUGCUCUCCCUCCCCCAAUGAUCUAGAUUUUGUCAGUUAUUUGACAAUCUAGUAAGUAUUUGGCGAGGGCAGAGAAAACCGGGCCCCUAGCUGCUCCCUUGGGGUCUAGCACGUUGGUAAGGUUAAAAACUAGUCCAUGGGAGUGCAAUGCAGCUUCGAGGUGGUCCCUCUGCGCCUUAUGGUUAGGACAGUGUAGCAGCAUGUGGGGCGCAGUGAGAGGUUCCUGGCACCUAGGACAUGCAGGGUCUAUACCGAGGACAUACUUUCCUGCGCCAUUGGGUAAUAGGGUGGUUCCCAUCCUCAGGCGCGUAACGGCUCUGUCAAGCACAAUGCUUGCUGAGUAUCUGUCAGGCGGCCUGAGGGUUUUCGCAGGUCUAGUAAAAGUAUGUCGACGGGAAGACAAAUUGUCGGUCCGGAGACUCGCCCAAAACAAAUUUCUUUGUCAAGGAGUAGAUCUCAGAAGGUGCCAGGGGUUCCCCAACAUCUACGGCCCCCCUCAAGAGGCCCUCUUUGGCCCCCCUGUCGGCCUGUUCAUUCCCACUGAUGUUGACAUGUGCUGGACACCAUACUAAUGUGACCUUUAAAGAUUUAUCUAGGCACUGUUGAUGAUGUUCCAAAAUGCUAGCUAAAAUAUCAGGCCUAGAUCUGCUAUUUCUGUUUUUUAUGGACUCAAGAGAUGACAUUGAGUCUGAUAAAAUAGCAGUUUUAGUAGGUUUAUUGACCAAUAUCCAGCACAGAGAGAAUUUAAUUGCCAAAAGUUCUGCUGUAAAAAUAGAGAGAUUGUUGCUGAGCCUGUGCGUUUUACUAAUGUUUUUUGAAGGGAUUACAAAAGAGUUGGCUACCAAACCAGAGUUAGGGCAUUUGGAGCCGUCAGUGUAGAUUUUUAGAUGCUCAGCAUACAUAUUAUCUAUAAGAGAGAGAGCUUCUGACUUGAUGAGUUGUGGCAAGUCAGUUUUCGUUAUUUUAUUAGAGAGUGAUAGGUCAACAUCAAUGGGUCCAAGCGUCCAGGGGGGGACCUUGGAGGGACUCAGGUCUGCUACAUGUACCUUGUCGAGACCGGCAUCCUCAACCAGUGUCCUAAUACUUGCACCAAAAGGUAGGGCGACAUGCUUAUGCUUAAGUAUUUUCCCCUUGAUGAAGGUGCCAGUCCCGACAAGUUUGUUAACGGGGUUUGAACCAUGCCGAGACUUAACCCUGGCCCAGAAAUUGAGGGACUGUUGUUUUCUACGCAAGUCAAGAGGUAACACACCGGCCUCCUCCUCUAGCAGUGCACCCGGUGUACAGUUUAGGGCUCUCAGAGCUAUCCUUAGGGCCUUGUGUUGAAUGGCAUCAACCAUUUUUAGGGCGUUUAGCUUAGCACAUGCAUAGAUUUGGGCUCCAUAAUCUAGCUUUGGACGUAUAAGGGACUUGUAAAGUGUUAAGAGGCUAUUUUUAUCUGAUCCGAAACCUGUGCCUCUUAACAUUCUCAUUAAAUUUAGGUCCCUUUCGCACCUUUCUGCCAAAUAUUUGAAGUGGUGAGUAAAAGUUAACUGUUUAUCUAGGUACUUACCUAGAAAUUUCACCACUUUUUCAAAGAUAAUUUUGGUGCCGCCUAAAUUUAAGUCCAAAGAGUGCUGAAAUUGUUCGCCAAAUAGUACUCCUACUGUUUUGAUUGGAGAAAUUUUGAAUCCCCAUUCAAUUGCCCAUUUCCAUAUGGAGUCUAAGCCUGCUUGAGCCCUCUUUUGCAGGCGUAACAUGUUAGACCCCUUUAACCAAGUGCCUGAGUCAUCGGCAAACUGGGAGAUAACCAUUCCUGAGUCUUUUACGGCAUCAGGUAGACCGUUUACGAUGAGGGAGAACAGAGUUGGGGAUAUUACGGACCCCUGAGGGGUUCCGCGGUCAGUUAUGGCUACCUCUGAUAACUCCCCAUCGACCCUGACCUGGAUUUUACGGCCCUCUAGGAAUGCUCUGAGGUAGUGGAAACAGUAUCCAGUGAUUCCAUAGUCAGCUAGCUUUUUUAGUAUGCCGAAGGUCCAUGUUAAAUCAAAGGCGGCCUGAAGGUCCAAAAAAAUUGCUAAUACUGAUUGCCCUUGAUUUUUUGCAGAAAGAAUAUCAUGUUGUAAUCUAGCUAGCUGAUCAAGAGUAGAUCGCCCCUUCCUAAAGCCAGACUGGAAGGGGUUUAGUAUAUUAUUUGAUUCCAAUAAGUGUUCUAAUCUAUUUUUGACCAUUAUUUCUAGUAAUUUACCUGCAUGUGAUGUUAGACUUAUUGGACGAUAUGAGUUUUGAUCAUUUUUGUCUUUACCAGGUUUAGGAAUUGGAAUCACUGUGGCCUGCUUCCACUCGGGUGGUAUCCUGCCUGUCCUAUACACCUGAUUGAAUAGGUUAAGCCAGAUUUUUAGAGUUAUGGCUGGCAUAUUUUUAAACAUUAAAUAUGCUAUUUUGUCAGGCCCCGUGGUGGUGUUGCUCCUGCUGUUAAUGGCACUUAAUAAUUCUGUAAUAGUGAAUGGUAAAUUUAGAGGCGUGUUGUUAUCCCCAGGCUCAUUUAAAAUAUUUCGGUGCUCAGUCUCAAACCGCUUUUGAUAAUUCAGAGUUUCAACGGGAAGGUUUGAGUCACUGGAGACAGAUUGGAAAUGUCGUACCAAAAAUUGAGCCUUGUCCCUUGGGGUAGUGGCAAUUUCGCCUUUGUAUUUAAGUAGCGGUACAGGGGUGAAUGAAUUUCCUUUAAUUCUGUGAAUUUUUUGCCAAAAAUCCCUAGUAUUUUUCUUAUUAAUGAUAGCUGAAUCACAGAAUUCUUUCCAAUUUUGAGUUUUUGCGUCCAAAAUAACCCGCUUUGCCUGAUUUUCGAGGGACCUAUAAUUAAGAAGAUUAUGCUCAGCGGGGUUCUUUUUAAGAAUUUUUAAAGCAUUUUUACGAUCCUGUACCGCAUUGGAGCACGCCUCAUUCCACCACGGGACCCUAUUUCUGGCUUUGACCUUGCCGGAGGAGACCGGUAUGCUACAUUCCGCUAUGGACAGUAUCCUGCUGGUUAAGUUAAUACAAAACAGAUUUGGGUCCUGGGAGUGAACAUCUGCAAGGGAGAGAUCUGAGCAGAGGUCCCUAAACUGAGCCCAAUUAGCUUUUUCCAAUAAAAACUUUUGCUCUCCUGAGCAUUGGGCCUCAGUUCCCUGUGCAAUAUAGUUGAGCAGGGUAACCUGUUGUGGGAGGUGAUCAGAUCCCAUGGUAUCUUUAACAGUUGCCCAUGCAGACGCACUUGCUAUCCUGGCAUUAACAUCAGUAAGGUCAAUGUGGGAGUUUAAACCAGUGGGGUUAAGCCUGGUUGGAGAACCGUCAUUGAGCAGUAUAAGAUCUUGCUCGUCCAACCAUUCUAUUACCGCCCGACCUUCUGCAUCUGAAUUUAUGGAACCCCAAGCAGGGUGAUGUGCAUUAAAGUCGCCUGUGAAUAUUACAUCAAAGGGUCCUUUAAUGGUCCUUAAUUCCUUAAAGAGGCCGUUCAGGGUUUCAAGAUCACAUCCUCUUGAAUAUAAAUUGACCAGGAUAAGAGGCCGGUUCUUGUCAAUAACCAAUUUAAUUGCUAAUGCCUCAAUAGCAGUGCUACCAUCAGAUUUAAAUUGGUUGUUCACUCCCAGGUGUUCAUAAUUAAUUGUAUUUUUAACCAGGUUUUCCGAAGGAAAAAACUGGUUAUUAGAUUGGCGAAUGCGGGCGGGCUGGCUGGCUGGCGGGCUGGCUGGCUGGCUGGCGGGCUGGCGGAAUAAGCUUGUCCGGGCCAUAACUAUGUCGUUCAUUGUCAGAUUUUAAAAUCAUUUGGCACAUUUGUUCACCAUCAUUGGACGGUGUGUCGCGCGAAAUAAUUACGUCGAUAUCUCCAAGGUCAAGGUCACACUUUGAGUUCAAAGGUCAAAAAUGGCCAUAAAUGAGCUUGUCCUGGCCAUAACUAUGUCAUUCAUUGUGAGAUUUUAAAAUCAUUUGGCACAUUUGUUCAUCAUCAUGGGACGGUGUGUCCCACGAAAGAAUCAUGUCAAUAUCUCCAAUGUCAAGGUCGCCACGACUAAAAAUAGAUUUAAAAAAAAAAAAAAACUUACAAAGGGGGUUAAUUUUUUUUGGUCAUUUCAAAAGUUCAGUUUGAGUUUUCUCCCUUUAUCAGAUUUUUUUUUCACAAUGAAAACCUGGUUUUGUGACAAUUUUGUCCCUUGUUAAUAUAUAUGGCAAGACCACCGGCAAUAUUUUGGUUUGAAGUAACAUAAUUCUUAAAUUCGCAGUUAUACCCUGGUAUUUGUUUUACAGAAAUAUUUGAAAAUUUAGUUUCCUGUAAACAUAUGAUAUGGGUAUUAGUGUUGCAGUCAAUAAAAUAUUUUAAUUCUGUGAAUUUGUUGGCGGAAAGACCACCAACAUUGAAUGAAAUUAUUUGCAGGUUACUGUCCAUAGUGGUGCGAAAUUAACUUGCGUUUAAUCUGAUUUAUUGAGUAUAUCUUUAUGUUUAUCUUGAUGAAAUCUGGGUUGGGAUUGUAUUUGGGUCAUCUGGGGUCAAAAACUAGGUCACUUGGUAAUAUAAUAGAAAAACCUUGUGUAGGCAAUAGAGGUCACAGUUUUCAUCCAAUCUUUAUAAAAUUUGAUCAGAAUGUUUAUCUUGAUGAAAUCUGGGUUGGGAUUGUAUGUGGGUCACCUGGGGUCAAAAACUAGGUCACUAGGUCAAAUAAUAGAAAAACCUUGUGUAGACAAUAGAGGUCACAGUUUUCAUCUAAUCUUUAUGAAAUUUGGUCAGAAUGUUUAUCUUGAUAAAAUCUGGGUUGGGAUUGUAUUUGGUUAGUCAGGUGAGCGAUUCAGGGCCAUCAUGGCCCUCUUGUUUAUUGUUUACCCUAGUUCCAGAAUCAUUUGACAUGUCGUUCAUCGAGCGUGAUGUACUUUAUGUUUUGUUUGUACAGUUUCUGCGUGAAGAUUUACUUGUUGUUUAUUUAAUGAAUUGUUUGUUAUUGUUAAAAUUUCGGAAAUGCUUUCUCGUUUGUGCACGUAUAGCUUGCCAAUAAUUACAUAUCAACAUGUUA